rnacentral:rRNA from 1 species
UACGUAGGGUGCAAGCGUUGUCCGGAAUUAUUGGGCGUAAAGAGCUCGUAGGCGGUCUGUCGCGUCGGCUGUGAAAACCCGGAGCUCAACCCCGGGCCUGCAGUCGAUACGGGCAGACUAGAGUGCGGUAGGGGAGACUGGAAUUCCUGGUGUAGCGGUGAAAUGCGCAGAUAUCAGGAGGAACACCGGUGGCGAAGGCGGGUCUCUGGGCCGUAACUGACGCUGAGGAGCGAAAGCGUGGGGAGCGAACAGG